CAGCCGCCGCGGUAAUACGAAGGGGGCUAGCGUUGUUCGGAAUUACUGGGCGUAAAGCGCACGUAGGCGGAUACUUAAGUCAGGGGUGAAAUCCCGGGGCUCAACCCCGGAACUGCCUUUGAUACUGGGUAUCUCGAGUCCGGAAGAGGUGAGUGGAAUUCCGAGUGUAGAGGCGAAAUUCGUAGAUAUUCGGAGGAACACCAGUGGCGAAGGCGGCUCACUGGUCCGGUACUGACGCUGAGGUGCGAAAGCGUGGGGAGCAAACAGGAUUAGAUACCCCCGUAGUCCCUGUCUCUUAUAC
rnacentral:rRNA from 1 species